rfam:Bacillus enclensis strain SGD-1123 genomic scaffold Scaffold2, whole genome shotgun sequence.
UACAAGCUGCGUUGUACGUAAUCAUAAUGAAGUUUUAACCUUUAAACUGUAACAGGGAGUUUUAUAUCGAAGCCGGAAUGUCAAGCCUCCGCGAUAGAGGACGACAGGAAAUCUUCUGCAAACACCCACUUUGAGGAGUGGUGGUUUAAAACUUUCUUAUCUAAAAUUACGGCAAAUGUGGCUCUAAC